rnacentral:snoRNA from 1 species
CCCAGUUGUAGGCAGCUGCCUAGGUUGUCGUGUACCUGGGCGUGUGUUACACUGCUGGGAGAACAGCAGCAAAUAGCUGGUUGGCAUUCUGGUCCUGGUUCAUGACACUUGUGUUAACUGUUCCAGGAUGUCAGCAUAGUUUUUUAUCCAGUAAGGUUAAAUCUGUAAGAGGAUAACUUUUGCAGGGAUAAAACCUAA